AACAGGAUUAGAUACCCUGGUAGUCCACGCCGUAAACGAUGUCGACUUGGAGGUUGUUCCCUUGAGGAGUGGCUUCCGGAGCUAACGCGUUAAGUCGACCGCCUGGGGAGUACGGCCGCAAGGUUAAAACUCAAAUGAAUUGACGGGGGCCCGCACAAGCGGUGGAGCAUGUGGUUUAAUUCGAUGCAACGCGAAGAACCUUACCUACUCUUGACAUCCAGAGAACUUAGCAGAGAUGCUUUGGUGCCUUCGGGAACUCUGAGACAGGUGCUGCAUGGCUGUCGUCAGCUCGUGUUGUGAAAUGUUGGGUUAAGUCCCGCAACGAGCGCAACCCUUAUCCUUUGUUGCCAGCGGUUCGGCCGGGAACUCAAAGGUGACUGCCGGUGAUAAACCGGAGGAAGGUGGGGAUGACGUCAAGUCAUCAUGGCCCUUACGAGUAGGGCUACACACGUGCUACAAUGGCGCAUACAAAGAGAAGCGACCUCGCGAGAGCAAGCGGACCUCAUAAAGUGCGUCGUAGUCCGGAUCGGAGUCUGCAACUCGACUCCGUGAAGUCGGAAUCGCUAGUAAUCGUAGAUCAGAAUGCUACGGUGAAUACGUUCCCGGGCCUUGUACACACCGCCCGUCACACCAUGGGAGUGGGUUGCAAAAGAAGUAGAUAGCUUAACCUUCGGGAGGGCGUUUACCACUUUGUGAUUCAUGACUGGGGUGAAGUCGUAACAAGGUAACC
rnacentral:rRNA from 1 species